rnacentral:tRNA from 2 species
ACACCUUAAAUUACCAGACAUAGGGCAGAACCUUGCCCACAAGGCAAUAAUAAAAAGGUACCGAAUAUGGUAAGAUUCGAUUGCACAAUCUUUUGAUGAGAAGGAGUAUAUAAUCAGAGUCAAAUGCCUUGUCAAUUGGGCCACGGGCCCUCGUUUGAUGAUACAGAUUCACAACCACAGGUUACCUGGAGACGCAGAGGGGGUGUUAAAAAACCGAGAGUUUUGUUCUAUGAUUGAUAGAGAGCGGGAGUGUGAUAGAUAGAAAUCUCCAAACAGACCCCAAAAACAGAAAGUUCGUGUUGAACCCGGUGGGAUUCGAACCCACAAUCUUUUGAUGAGAAGGUAUGUUUAAUCGUAGUCAAACGCCUUGCCAAUUGGGCCACGGGUCCCGCUUCAUGAUGCGACGGUUGUCGAGAUGCUUACGAGAAGGUUGUUGAUAACUAGUUAAUGUGUUUGAUUGAACAACUUUUGCUGGUUCAUGGGCCCCGCUAACGGACAAUCUCAGCUUUCUCGAAGGGGUCUGGAAAACCUGGAUCCUAGCACAUGGACGUUUCUUCUUGGGAUAUCCUGAUCUCGGGAAUCUGACCAAUGAUGGCUAGAGAAUAGGACAUAACUCGAGAGGGUAAUACAACGCCAGAGCUAAUUUUGCAUUGGCGCGGCUGGAAUGCAGGUUGAUCAGGUUAAUUGCGCCUGUGUUAACUUUCAAUCCAUGAUCUUGUCAGCAAUCCUUUCAACUGAUAGCUAUUGAACCACGUCACAAUUUCUUGGAUAUCUGACAUCUGCCGAAAGUGGCUAGCGACAGAGUUAGCGGAUUUCUUCAUCUGGAGACGGCGAGAUACCAUGUGCUGCAAUUUACUGUCGAAAGGGAGGGGUUUUCAUUAUCUUGCAUUUUGGGGCGGUUCGUGAGGGGGUUACUACACUACUGUGCAAUAUCCCUGAGAGAUACCCCUGUCCCUUGUGGAGCCGGUAACUUUCCUUUCCCUUUCACACUGGCCGAGUCAAGAUUCGCCAGUCUUGGGCAUGGCGCUGGUAAUAGUGAGCGAAAAUCGAACCUGGAUGGAAAAGGCUCGCUAGCCUCUUGUUUUAUGGGCACCCUGUUUGCUAUCUCGCACAGAGCCCGCAACUGAAACCGCGGUCA